rnacentral:lncRNA from 1 species
GUGCGCAGGUGCUCUUUCAGGCGGGUCUUUCGUGAGAAGUUCUGAGAGCAUGAAGGACACUGAAAUGGCUUCUCGCCUGUGUGGGUGCGCAGGUGCUCUUUCAGGCGGGUCUUUCGUGAGAAGCUCUGAGAGCAUGAACGGCACUCAAACGGCUUUUCGCCUGUGUGGGUGCGCAGGUGGCUUUUCA